ACGGGCGGGGCCCCCGCGGCCCUUCCCUCCCUUCCCGUGACUGCCACGGUGGGUCCCGCCCCGCGAGGGGUGAGAACGGAAUCACAGAGCAAAAUCACGGAGCCAGAGAAUCAUAGAAGCAUGGAAUAGUGGAAUCACUGAGGUUGGAGGAGAUCUUUAAUACCGUCCAGUCGAGCCGUCAACCUAGCACCAUCACAAUCACCUCUAAACCACAUCAGCCAGAGCCACAUCUAGACGCCUCUUCCUCCUAACCACCACCAGAGGUCAUUGGAGAGCACAUACACAGAGAAAAUGGGACCAAGUUGACCUUCUCCAGCAACUUGAGCAGCUUCAAAAUAUGGAAGAAGAUGAAUUUGCUGUGUUGAACAUCUUUGUCUCAUGCUUUGGAGGCUGAUUUUGUACCUGAAAGCUGAUGAACAAGGUAUUAAAAAAUCCACCUGUAAAGGAGUCUUCAGCGUUUAUGUAUGGAUCUUGUUAGAUCUUGGCUGAUUCGGAGAUAUGGAUAAACUAUUUGGUGCAAGAAUGGAACUGGAUUUGACUUGGAAUCCAAUAAAUAUUGAGCUGUGUUGUUCUGAUGUGCUUUCUGGUUGUACUCCAUCUACCCUACACACAGAUGGUAGGUCAAGCUAUAUUGGCUCUACCAAUAUAGAUACUGUGUUCAAUAGACCUUCAUGCACUCAGACAAUGGAGAUGUUUUUAAUUAAAACAUAUAAUGAUUCAAAUCAAAGAUAAACUUGUAAA